rnacentral:snoRNA from 1 species
CUGCGACCAAUGAAACUGCCUGUCCUUCCUCUGGAAGAUGGCGUGCAAAGGCCGUGAAAAGCAACCUGCUUGGUAGUAGACUCAGCCAGGUGCCAUGCCUGGGGCUGUCCUAUGGGACCUCGGAGACAGCC